GGUCAUGACUGCUGGACGUCAACUAGCAAAAAGCUUGGAGUCACAUUCACUCAGUGACUUAGGCUUCUCCAAACGAUAUGUUCGGUGUUUGCAGGGGCUUGUUGCUGCCCUUUUCUACCCUAUCAAUGUCUCAAGACUCUGAAAGAAGAAAGAUGAAGAUGGAAAGGGGAGAGAGUUUGAGAUAUGAGUUUGUGCUUUUGUUUCUUUGUGUCUGUUUUUCAAAUAUUUUGUUCUUUAUAUAUGUUGGUAUAAUGUAAUAUGCAAAACUUGUUAUAAUAUUUCCAAUAAGAAAUAAAUGUUCUAUAGCAUC